rnacentral:rRNA from 1 species
AGUGGGGAAUAUUGGACAAUGGGCGCAAGCCUGAUCCAGCCAUGCCGCGUGAGUGAUGAAGGCCCUAGGGUUGUAAAGCUCUUUUGUGCGGGAAGAUAAUGACGGUACCGCAAGAAUAAGCCCCGGCUAACUUCGUGCCAGCAGCCGCGGUAAUACGAAGGGGGCUAGCGUUGCUCGGAAUCACUGGGCGUAAAGGGUGCGUAGGCGGGUCUUUAAGUCAGGGGUGAAAUCCUGGAGCUCAACUCCAGAACUGCCUUUGAUACUGAGGAUCUUGAGUUCGGGAGAGGUGAGUGGAACUGCGAGUGUAGAGGUGAAAUUCGUAGAUAUUCGCAAGAACACCAGUGGCGAAGGCGGCUCACUGGCCCGAUACUGACGCUGAGGCACGAAAGCGUGGGGAGCAAA